rnacentral:lncRNA from 1 species
GGAAAAGAGGUAUUGAUAUAUGAAAGUUAACGAGACACGCUUUUGUUUUUGGUACAUAAGAAAGUAAAAGAAAACUAACAGAAGCUAAGCCAAAACUGUGUCCUAGAGCAGAGCAAAGAUCAUCUGGUGGUUUAAGUCAGGUUUUGAACGUAAUUCUGCUUCGGGAUGCCCUUUUUGCCUGUAAAUCUAGCCACAUUUACUUCUCUAUGACAAAUUCCAGCAACAUUUGCCAAUGUCAACUCAACAACCCCUUUGUCUCCAAAAUUAAGGUCAUAUUGGCAUGUACCCUCACAUCAGCAAUAUAAAAAAUAUUAAUCAUUUCCAUAAAGUCGCUCUCAGAAAUUAUCUUUUUAUAACUAAGAUCCUAUCCCAUACAAAGACCGUGUUUCAGGGCGCAACCUCCUUGUAGAGAUUUAGAAAAGUCACACAACCAUCUACCAAUACCAUUUCUGAAUCAUCCUCCUAUACCCUGACACAGUGAGUGCGGGAUGAAACUUCCAUCUGUAUUCUGUUUCGAGUACAGAUUUGGAGGUGGUAUCGAGGCCGGAUCCGAGUAGUCUGAAAUUUGUUUGGAGGCGCACCAAGUACGGAGUCAAAUAUUGCAAAAUUGAAAUAGUAAUAAACCGAGAAGUGCAGUGUUUAUAUUUCAUUGACCUUUUAUGUUUCUAGCCAAGUUUUUUUGAAAAUUUGAGGGCGAUAAAUCGUGGGAACAUACUGAGGCACAUGUUAUAAUAGAGGAAUUGAAGACGAUGAGAAUAACUUUGCAACCAUCCUAUCAGAAGAGUUAUCACCAGAAUCUAUCAAACCAAAAGAUUGUUGAUUUUGAAAAAUACACAGAUGAAUCUAUGAGUUAAGGUUUUAACAUUGUUUAUGAGAAAAAAAUGAGAGAGAGAGAAUGGAAUUCUCUGGUAGCGAAGUAAAAGACGAUAUUGUAGAUUACCUCCAAUUCAACGAACGAAUAUUAGAACCAAAGAGUGGAGAUAGCUAUUAGAUUAGGGGAAAGGAAGUGGAAGGGAGAAACAGAGAAGGGUUUCGAAAAACA